GCCCAGGUAGUUCAGUGGUAGAACGUCUACUUGGUAAGUAGAUGGUCGCGAGUCCGAUUCUCGCUCUGGGCU
rnacentral:tRNA from 1 species